ACACCAAAAUGCACAGGCUGUGAACUCGAAGAGUAGGGCGGGACACGUGGUAUCCUGUCUGAAUAUGGGGGGACCAUCCUCCAAGGCUAAAUACUCCUGACUGACCGAUAGUGAACCAGUACCGUGAGGGAAAGGCGAAAAGAACCCCGGCGAGGGGAGUGAAAAAGAACCUGAAACCGUGUACGUACAAGCAGUGGGAGCACCUUCGGGUGUGACUGCGUACCUUUUGUAUAAUGGGUCAGCGACUUAUAUUCUGUAGCAAGGUUAACCGUAUAGGGGAGCCGCAGGGAAACCGAGUCUUAACUGGGCGUUAAGUUGCAGGGUAUAGACCCGAAACCCGGUGAUCUAGCCAUGGGCAGGUUGAAGGUUGGGUAACACUAACUGGAGGACCGAACCGACUAAUGUUGAAAAAUUAGCGGAUGACUUGUGGCUGGGGGUGAAAGGCCAAUCAAACCGGGAGAUAGCUGGUUCUCCCCGAAAGCUAUUUAGGUAGCGCCUCGUGAAUUCAUCUUCGGGGGUAGAGCACUGUUUCGGCUAGGGGGUCAUCCCGACUUACCAACCCGAUGCAAACUACGAAUACCGAAGAAUGUUAUCACGGGAGACACACGGCGGGUGCUAACGUCCGUCGUGAAGAGGGAAACAACCCAGACCGCCAGCUAAGGUCCCAAAGUCAUGGUUAAGUGGGAAACGAUGUGGGAAGGCACAGACAGCCAGGAUGUUGGCUUAGAAGCAGCCAUCAUUUAAAGAAAGCGUAAUAGCUCACUGGUCGAGUCGGCCUGCGCGGAAGAUGUAACGGGGCUAAACCAUGCACCGAAGCUGCGGCAGCGACACUAUGUGUUGUUGGGUAGGGGAGCGUUCUGUAAGCCUGCGAAGGUGACCUGUGAGGGUUGCUGGAGGUAUCAGAAGUGCGAAUGCUGACAUAAGUAACGAUAAAGCGGGUGAAAAGCCCGCUCGCCGGAAGACCAAGGGUUCCUGUCCAACGUUAAUCGGGGCAGGGUGAGUCGACCCCUAAGGCGAGGCCGAAAGGCGUAGUCGAUGGGAAACAGGUUAAUAUUCCUGUACUUGGUGUUACUGCGAAGGGGGGACGGAGAAGGCUAUGUUAGCCGGGCGACGGUUGUCCCGGUUUAAGCAUGUAGGCUGGUUGUCCAGGCAAAUCCGGAUAAUCAAGGCUGAGGUGUGAUGACGAGGCACUACGGUGCUGAAGUAACAAAUGCCCUGCUUCCAGGAAAAGCCUCUAAGCAUCAGGUAACAUUAAAUCGUACCCCAAACCGACACAGGUGGUCAGGUAGAGAAUACCAAGGCGCUUGAGAGAACUCGGGUGAAGGAACUAGGCAAAAUGGUGCCGUAACUUCGGGAGAAGGCACGCUGGUGUGUAGGUGAAGUCCCUGCGGAUGGAGCUGAGACCAGUCGAAGAUACCAGCUGGCUGCAACUGUUUAUUAAAAACACAGCACUGUGCAAACACGAAAGUGGACGUAUACGGUGUGACGCCUGCCCGGUGCCGGAAGGUUAAUUGAUGGGGUUAUCCGUAAGGAGAAGCUCUUGAUCGAAGCCCCGGUAAACGGCGGCCGUAACUAUAACGGUCCUAAGGUAGCGAAAUUCCUUGUCGGGUAAGUUCCGACCUGCACGAAUGGCGUAAUGAUGGCCAGGCUGUCUCCACCCGAGACUCAGUGAAAUUGAACUCGCUGUGAAGAUGCAGUGUACCCGCGGCAAGACGGAAAGACCCCGUGAACCUUUACUAUAGCUUGACACUGAACAUUGAGCCUUGAUGUGUAGGAUAGGUGGGAGGCUUUGAAGCGUGGACGCCAGUCUGCGUGGAGCCAACCUUGAAAUACCACCCUUUAAUGUUUGAUGUUCUAACGUUGGCCCCUGACCGGGGUUGCGGACAGUGUCUGGUGGGUAGUUUGACUGGGGCGGUCUCCUCCCAAAGCGUAACGGAGGAGCACGAAGGUUAGCUAAUCCUGGUCGGACAUCAGGAGGUUAGUGCAAUGGCAUAAGCUAGCUUGACUGCGAGCGUGACGGCGCGAGCAGGUGCGAAAGCAGGUCAUAGUGAUCCGGUGGUUCUGAAUGGAAGGGCCAUCGCUCAACGGAUAAAAGGUACUCCGGGGAUAACAGGCUGAUACCGCCCAAGAGUUCAUAUCGACGGCGGUGUUUGGCACCUCGAUGUCGGCUCAUCACAUCCUGGGGCUGAAGUAGGUCCCAAGGGUAUGGCUGUUCGCCAUUUAAAGUGGUACGCGAGCUGGGUUUAGAACGUCGUGAGACAGUUCGGUCCCUAUCUGCCGUGGGCGCUGGAGAAUUGAGGGGGGCUGCUCCUAGUACGAGAGGACCGGAGUGGACGCAUCACUGGUGUUCGGGUUGUCAUGCCAAUGGCACUGCCCGGUAGCUAAAUGCGGAAGAGAUAAGUGCUGAAAGCAUCUAAGCACGAAACUUGCCCCGAGAUGAGUUCUCCCUGAGACUUUAAGUCUCCUGAAGGAACGUUAAAGACGAUGACGUUGAUAGGCCGGGUGUGUAAGCGCAGCGAUGCGUUGAGCUAACCGGUACUAAUGAACCGUGAGGCUUAACCUU
rnacentral:rRNA from 1 species